UCUGAUUGGUUGUCACCGAAUGUUUUCUCUGACUUCCGGCCACAUUAACGCUCUCGUCGGUGGCGGUGUGAACGCAUAGUAAGGAAACUGGCAUUAUUAACUCUGUCAAUUAACUCCAACUCUGAACAACAAUUUACUCUGAAUAUGUUAAAUUUACUCUUUAGGUGUUCAAUUCAAGUCAGAAAUGUUUAACACUGAAAUUUUUACUUUCCAAUUUUGCUGUGUACUUAAGCACAACUAUAUUGAAGAAGAAAACGGUUAACCAAAAGUACCUAUCAGACAUUGGCUGAAACACAAAAUGCUUUUUUCUGCUUUUGGUCUUUCUGCAUUAAAUUACCUCAGUGGGCCAUCAUGUUGCCUUGGUUUAUAUAGAAUCAUCUAGCCGGGUACCAUUGUAACAAUGCACAGAAAACGACAGCCAUUCUUGUACGUAGAUUUAAAUGGGUGACAUUUUUUUACUCUAUUGAAGUUCUUUGGCCUCAAAAAGCAAAAUUAAUAUCAAGUUAGUUUGAAGUAGGGAAAUGAAGGACAUUGCUGUCUCUUAAGAAGAAGAUCGUCAGUGGUUUCAGAAGGGUUACAAGUCGUCCUUCAACAAUACAAGACUGCAUUAGGUCUUGAGGCCUCUGUCCUUCAACAUGUUGAAGAAGAAGAUCAAAGUGACCUCAGCAGUCCAGAUACCAGCGAGGAUGAAGAGGAAAACAUAAUUUAGAUAGAAACUGCACAAAGGACUGCGUUUAAGGAAAUGGACUUGGCAUAUAUCUGUGUAGUGUUAGUAUGCUAACUACAUUAUUAUCUGUAUGCAUCCUAUAUUGUUAAAAUGUUCAACCUGUGUCUAGAUUAUCAAGCAUGUUAUUUAGCACGUUGAUGCUCCUUAAAUAUGCACAAACAUCUCAAUAUAGGUGCAACAAUCGUAUGAUAUUAUCAGAUGUAAUAAUUGAACUGAUGUUAUAUUUGGCUAGUGUAUUCAUAAUUUGUGUAUUUAAAGUUGCUAAUGGGCAUUGUUAGCCACAUCACAAACUCACUGUUAAAACACUGCUUAUUGUGCCUUAUUGUGUUUAUGUACUUGCAUUGGUGCAGUAAUAUUGAUGUAAUGCAGUAAGGUCAUUGGUGUGUUUUACAAUGGCUUUGAACAGAGCUCAAGCAAUCAGAAUAAUCAUUGAUAAUAAAGUAAAAGUUUUA